rnacentral:lncRNA from 1 species
CUGAGUCAUACAGGUGCUUGCAAGGGGCACCUGCUGCAAUUAAAGAUAUUUCGCUGUAAAACGCUGGUUUAUAUAGCAAUUAACAGGUAAGAUAUAUUCUUUUUUCUUUUAUUCUUUUACUUGUUUCAGUCAUUUGACUGCGGCCAUGCUGGAGCACCGCCUUUCGACCCCGGGACUUAUUCUUUGUAAGCCCAGUACUUAUUCUAUCGGUCUCUUUUGCCGAACCGCUAAGUGACGGGGACGUAAACACACCAGCAGAGGUUGUCAAGCAAUGCUAGAGGGACAAACAUAUACACACACAUACAUAUAUAUACAUAUAUACGGCAGGCUUCUUUCAGUUUCCGUCUACCAAAUCCACUCACAAGGUAUUGGUCGGCCCGAGGCUAUAGAAGAAGACACUUGCCCAAGAUGCCACGCAGUGGGACUGAACCCGGAACCAUGUGGUUGGUAGGCAAGCUACUUACCACACAGCCACUCCUGCACCUAUGUAUAUAUAUAUUUUUACAUAUAUAACACGGCAAGCCGGAAGAAUACCUAUAAUACGUGUGUAUAUGAUACAUAUAUAAUACAAAUCCGGCAUAUUUACAGAUGUAUACCCCAGUCGACUUUGGGUACUACUAGCGAACAGUGGUCCCGGUGCGCGCACUCGCGCCUCCUCGCUAGCUAGUCGUAAGUAGUCGAUCCUACAACGACUUUUUAACCCUAACACUAAUACUCUCUUUACUCUUUUACUUGUUUCAGUCAUUUGACUGUGGCCAUGCUGGAGCACCGCCUUUAAUCGAGCAACUCGACCCCGGGACUUAUUCUUUUGUAAACCCAGUACUUAUUCUAUCGGUGUCUUUUGCCGAACCGCUAAGUGACAGGGGUCAUAAACACACCAGCAUCGGUUGUCAAGCAAUGCUUGGGGGACAAAACACACGCAUAUAUAUAUAUAUAUAUAUACAAAUAUACGACGGGUUUCUUUCAGUUUCCGUCUACCAAAUCCACUCACAAGGCAUUGGUCUGCCCGGGGCUAUAGCAGAAGACACUUACCCAAGGUGCCACGCAGUGGGACUGAACCCGGAACCAUGUAGUUGGUAAGCAGGCUACUUACCACACAACCACUCCUACGCCUAUAUAUAUAUACACGAUGGGCUUCUUUUCAGUCUCCGUCUACCAAAUCCACUCACAAGGCUUUGGUCGGCCCGAGGCUAUAGUAGAAGACACUUGCCCAAAGUGCCACGCAGUGGGAUUGAACCCGGAACCAUGUGGUUGGUUAGCAAGCUACUUACCACACAGCCACACCUGAGCCUUAGUUUAAAAGAUUAUUUACUUUGUUCGAAAAAUAUUAUCUAAUUUUCUUUGAUAUGUAUUCAGCCUUGAAAUACAAACAUAUGCACAAGUCGUUGUAGGAUCGACUACUUACGACUAGCUAGCACGAGUGCGCGCACUGGGGCCACUGUUCGCUAGUAGUACCCGACUUUGUUGCCUCAUAACUUACAGAAAAAUGGAUAUUUUUUAACGAAAAUUUCAACAAAUACCGCUUAGAUACUGUGAAUUCAGAGUAUAUAAGAUUUAUGGGAAAGAAUUUUUCCGAGAGGGUGAAGAGGGGAGUUUCGGAAAAUUCACGCGAUCCUACUUUUUUCCCUCGUUACUUUCAGGACAGUGGAUAUAUUUUAUUGAAAUUUUAUACAAAUAGCUUUUAAACUGCAUGGAUUACGAUUAUAAAGAAAUUUGUGGGGGAAAUCUAUUUCCGAGCGGGUGGGGAGAGAAGUUUCGAAAAACUUGUUUUUCAUGAUAAGAUGACCCUCCCACCUGCAAUUAUUUCGAGGGCUUUGGUCAAAACGUAGUCCCACUUAUUUGGUCUACUUGAUCCGAAACUUCUUUCCCCACCACCUCGGAAAAAUUUUCCUUACAAAAUUUCUUUAUCAUCGUAAUCUAUGCCGUUUGAAAGGUACUUACUCUUUUACUUGUUUCAGUCAUUUGACUGCGGCCAUGCUGGAGCACUGCCUUUUAGUCGAGCAAAUCGACCCCGGGACUUAUUCUUUUGUAAGCCCAGUACUUAUUCUAUCGGUCUCUUUUGCUGAACCGCUAAGUUUACUCUUUUACUUGUUUCAGUCAUUUGACUGCGGCCAUGCUGGAGCACCGCCUUUAGUCGAGCAAAUCGACCCCGGGACUUAUUCUUUGUAAACCCAGUACUUAUUCUAUCGGUCUCUUUUUGCCGAACCACUAAGUGACGGGGACGUAAACACACCAGCAUCGGUUGUCAAGCAAUGCUAGGGGGACAAACACAGACACACAAACAUAUACACACACAUACAUAUACAUAUAUAUAUAUAUAUAUACAUAUAUACGACGGGCUUCUUUCAGUUUCCGUCUACCAAAUCCACUCACAAGGCAUUGGUCGGCCCGGUGCUAUAGUAGAAGACACUUGCCCAAGAUGCCACGCAGUGGGACUGAACCCGGAACCAUGUGGUUGGUUAGCAAGCUACUUACCACACAGCCAUAAAAUUUCUAUAAAAGAUAUCCCUUUUCCGAAACUUCUCUCCCCACCCUCCCUUGCACGGCACUUUUGGGUCUGUUGCAGACAAUAUAUGUUUUUUGUGUGGUCUGGGAUCGGCAAACGGAUGGGCCGCCCCAUGCACACAUCCUUGGAACGCUAAUCAUCAUCAUCAUCGUUUAACAUCCGUUUUCCGCGCUAGCACUAAUAUAUAUAUAUAUAUAUAUAUAUAUAUAUAUAUAUAUAUAUACGAUGGGCUUCUUUCAGUUUCCGUCUACCAAAUCCACUCACAAAGCUUAGGUCAGUCCAAGGCUAUAGUAGAAGACACUUGCCCAAGGUGCCUUGGAGUGGGACUGAACCUGGAACCAUGUGGUUUGUAAGCAAGCUUCUUACCACACUUCCGCAUAUUUUCAAAAUGGAAAGAAACAAGAUAAGAUCAAUUAUUCUAAUAAUAUCUUUACAUCUUCGGUUUUUCUUCUUAAUCCUUUAGCAUUCAGAUUAUUGUCAAGUGUAAUGUUUGUUUAUUCACAUUGUUUUGAAUUAAUCUCACAUUAUCUUGUGGAUUUGAGUUAUCAAUGAUGUGGUUGUCUAUUUUUAAAAUGACAUUGCAAGGUAGGUGUGAGAGGCCAGAUCCAGCCAGUUUGAACAUAAAACAGGUAGAAUAUAUGGCCGGUUUAACCCUUUAGCAUUUAAACCGGCCAUAUCCGGCCAAAAGUAUUCUGCCUGUUUUAUGUUCAAACUGGCCAGAUCUGGUCUCUCACACCAACCGUUUUAAAAAUUAACAUCUGCCUCAUCAAAUUCUCAUAGUUACAAGAUAAUGCAUGAUUAGUUCAAAACAAUGUGGAUUAAAAAGUAUUAAUCUUGGUAGAAUAAUGCGAACACUAAAGGGUUAAACACUAAAGCAGUGCUUUUCAACCUUUUUGCUGGAGCGGAACCCCAAGGAAACAUUCCACUGGCUCGAGGAACCCCUGUGCAAUAAUUUAAUUGUCUUAUGCACACAUAUCUGCACAGGAGAAUUAAUAAUUACUGCCGAUUUUAGCAGUUUUUGUAACAUCUUGCAGAACCCUAGUUGAAAACCACUGCACUAAAGGGUUAAAUAUGUUGUAAAAUUUCCUCUGUUGUAUCUUUGCAUUUUAAGUAUAUUCCUACCGCUCUAUGUCAUGCUGGUGAGACCCAUAUUGGAGUACGGGAUUCAAGCCUCUUCUCCUUAUCUCCUCAAAGACAUACAUCAUCUCGAAGGAGUCCAGAAGCUGGCUACCCGCAUGGUUCUUGGUUUCAAGCAUUUGUCUUAUAAAGAAAGGCUGAAGACACUCGACCUUUAUUCUCUAGAAAAACGACAACACCGUGGUGAUCUCAUUCUUGCUCACAACAUCAUAAGCGGAAAGUGUAACCUCUCGAAAGAGCUGUUCUUCACUCCUGCUCCAGAGCGUAGGCUGUGGGGUCACUCCGACAAGCUCUACCUGCGACGAUUUCAUCUCAAUCGAAGGAGAGGGGCUUUCUGCGUCCGGGUUGCAGAUCCGUGGAUAGUGAAGAUGCCGACGACCGCUCGGUUCAAAGUCUCUCUUGACCACAAAUGGCCUGAACUCUUUGCAUGAACACCCUCCCUGUACAUAACUCCAUGUCCCUCUACAUGGCCUUGCUUUUUGCUUUUUGAGCCAAAAAUUAACUAACUAAGUAUCCUCAAUAUCUUAUAUUCUUGUUUCUCUAUCAUUUCAGAACAUCAGAAACAGCAAAGAAUUGUUUCCAUCAGAGACAUCGUCAACAUCUAUCAUCUUAGAAGAACCAAAGAAAAAUCUUUAUAAAGACCAUAUAUAGAACAACACUGUUUAUCUAAAUCCAUGGUGACUUCCUGGUAACAUCUCUUUAGAACUGAGAUAAAUAUCAGCAAUUGUCUUCAAUUCCUGAAAAGUUCACAAACUGAUUUUGGAUCCUAAUUUCUCUUUUCCAUUUCAUAUGAUUUAUACGAAAUCAUUUCUCAUACUUAUUUUGAAGUUGGAAGAAUUUAUAAAAAGGUUUGCAGCCUCUUCAGAUAUCACCAAAGGUCAGAGUUGAGGGAGAUUUAAUAUCGAGAAGAUUUGGGGAGGAAUCUUUAUAUAUAAAAGUCAAGUUGUGUGUCUGUCUCCUACGAUUUAGAUUCCUAACUACUCCCACAUUUUGCGGUGCAGUUUAACCAAAAGCGG